UAGGGAAUUUUCGUCAAUGGGGGAAACCCUGAACGAGCAAUGCCGCGUGAGUGAAGAAGGUCUUCGGAUCGUAAAGCUCUGUUGUAAGUGAAGAACGGCUCAUAGAGGAAAUGCUAUGGGAGUGACGGUAGCUUACCAGAAAGCCACGGCUAACUACGUGCCAGCAGCCGCGGUAAUACGUAGGUGGCAAGCGUUAUCCGGAAUCAUUGGGCGUAAAGGGUGCGUAGGUGGCGUACUAAGUCUGUAGUAAAAGGCAAUGGCUCAACCAUUGUAAGCUAUGGAA
rnacentral:rRNA from 1 species